rnacentral:rRNA from 1 species
UACGUAGGGUGCGAGCGUUGUCCGGAAUUAUUGGGCGUAAAGAGCUUGUAGGUGGUUUGUCGCGUCGGCUGUGAAAGCCCGGAGCUCAACUCCGGGUCUGCAGUCGAUACGGGCAGACUUGAGUGUUGCAGGGGAGACUGGAGUUCCUGGUGUAGCGGUGAAAUGCGCAGAUAUCAGGAGGAACACCGGUGGCGAAGGCGGGUCUCUGGGCAACAACUGACGCUGGAGGAGCGAAAGCGUGGGGAGCGAACAGG